UACGGGGGGGGCAAGCGUUGUUCGGAAUUACUGGGCGUAAAGGGCUCGUAGGCGGCCAACUAAGUCAGACGUGAAAUCCCUCGGCUUAACCGGGGAACUGCGUCUGAUACUGGAUGGCUUGAGUUCGGGAGAGGGAUGCGGAAUUCCAGGUGUAGCGGUGAAAUGCGUAGAUAUUCGGAAGAACACCAGUGGCGAAGGCGGCUCACUGGACUGGUAUUGACGCUGAGGUGCGAAAGCGUGGGGAGCAAACAGG
rnacentral:rRNA from 1 species